rfam:Ailuropoda melanoleuca scaffold2796_6, whole genome shotgun sequence.
GCCUGGCUGGCUCAGUAGGUAGAGCAUGUGACUGUUAAUCUCAGGGUUGUGGGUUCGAGCCCCUUGUUGGGUA